UCCGAUUUGUCACCGGCAGUCUCCUACGAGUCCCCGCCAUUACGCGCUGGCAACAUAGGACAAGGGUUGCGCUCGUUGCGGGACUUAACCCAACAUCUCACGACACGAGCUGACGACAGCCAUGCAGCACCUCGACUGCAGUCCCUUGCGGGAAGGCCAGUGUUUCCACCGACUGUCCACAGCCGUUCGAGCCCAGGUAAGGUUCUUCGCGUUGCGUCGAAUUGAACCACAUGCUCCACCGCUUGUGCGGGCCCCCGUCAAUUCCUUUGAGUUUCAGCCUUGCGGCCGUACUCCCCAGGCGGGACACUUAUUGCGUUAGCGACGGCACCGGGAGGGUCGCUCCCCCCGACGCCUAGUGUCCAUCGUUUACGGCGUGGACUAC
rnacentral:misc_RNA from 1 species